rnacentral:rRNA from 1 species
UGAGGAAUAUUGGUCAAUGGGCGUAAGCCUGAACCAGCCAAGUAGCGUGAGGGAAGACUGCCCUAUGGGUUGUAAACCUCUUUUGUGCGGGGAUAAAGUGUGGGACGUGUCCCAUAUUGCAGGUACCGCACGAAUAAGGACCGGCUAAUUCCGUGCCAGCAGCCGCGGUAAUACGGAAGGUCCGGGCGUUAUCCGGAUUUAUUGGGUUUAAAGGGAGCGCAGGCCGUCCUUUAAGCGUGCUGUGAAAUGCCGCGGCUCAACCGUGGCACUGCAGCGCGAACUGGAGGACUUGAGUACGCACGAGGUAGGCGGAAUUCGUGGUGUAGCGGUGAAAUGCUUAGAUAUCACGAAGAACUCCGAUUGCGAAGGCAGCUUACCGGAGCGCAACUGACGCUGAGGCUCGAAAGCGCGGGUAUCGAACAGGAUUAGAUACCCUGGUAGUCCGCGCGGUAAAUGAUGGAUGCCCGCCGUUGGGAUUUGGAUUUCAGCGGCCAAGCGAAAGCGUUAAGCAUCCCACCUGGGGAGUACGCCGGCAACGGUGAAACUCAAAGGAAUUGACGGGGGCCCGCACAAGCGGAGGAACAUGUGGUUUAAUUCGAUGAUACGCGAGGAACCUUACCCGGGCUUGAAUUGCAGGAGAACGAUCCAGAGAUGGUGAGGCCCUUCGGGGCUCCUGUGAAGGUGCUGCAUGGUUGUCGUCAGCUCGUGCCGUGAGGUGUCGGCUCAAGUGCCAUAACGAGCGCAACCCCUGUCCAUAGUUGCCAUCAGGUCGUGCUGGGCACUCUGUGGAGACUGCCGCCGUAAGGUGUGAGGAAGGUGGGGAUGACGUCAAAUCAGCACGGCCCUUACGUCCGGGGCUACACACGUGUUACAAUGGGGCAUACAGCGAGUUGGAUGUGCGCAAGUACGUCCGGAUCAAUAAAGUGCCUCUCAGUUCGGACUGGGGUCUGCAACCCGACCCCACGAAGCUGGAUUCGCUAGUAAUCGCGCAUCAGCCAUGGCGCGGUGAAUACGUUCCC